UAUGCAGGCCGUAGGCUCGUACUGUAAGUAUGCGAAGGUCCGCAGCAAAUGAGAGGCGCUUCUCCAGUGCCAGCGCCGGCGGUGCCUCGGCCCCUUCGUCUGCGACCCCGACACCAUCCUAAACUUCGGCAGUCACCGCCGACGAUCUCAAUGCCUAGGAGUUUCUCGUAGGGUCGUUCGAUGGAGUGGCGACGCCGGCGAUCGGCGUCGGCUUCGGCGGUGGGAUUCGUUUUCCCUUUAUUUGCUCAACUAUGCAUCAAGACCCGAGAAGCAUCUGACGUUGUGGAUUUUGACAAGCGCUCCGUAUGAUGCAUUAUAUUUUUGGUAGAAGUUGGCAGGACCGAAUUCCCGGAGGCGGUGAUCGGAUCUCGGCCCCCUUUCCCGGCUCCCAGCAUCCUGACGUCGAGCAGAGUUUAAGUUUACAAGAGAAUGAAAACCGUGGAGCAUUUUAUGAGACAUUUCAUGGUGGAAGCAUCAGCAUCCGGAGGUGCAAGAAGAAUUCAUCCAACUUCAGGCCAUCAUAAAUAUCUGUCUCAGGAAGCGAGCUGAGCUAGAGAUUUUGGAUUCGAAGGCUUCUUUGAUCCGUGCAAGUCAUUGAGGCAGAAGCAACAUUGCGAGAGGCUAUUGUAUCUCAGGUGUGCCUCAGCAUCUCGGGUUCUAUUUUUCUACUUUCUCUAUUUAUUUUCUUUAAGCCUAUUACAGCUUAUUAUUUGUUGAAGUAGAAUAUUUUAGAUUUUAAUUUUCCUGGGAUUUGUUAUUCCCAACAUUAUUUGGGUUCCUUGAUCCUGUAUAAGUACUCAAGAUCUACCUAGCGAAUAACCGAUGUGGGACUAAACACAUACCGGUACGGAUCCUCAUACCCUUCCUGCAGUUGAACUGGGCCACAAACGAUAUGUGUGGCCGCAGAGGGAUGGCUUUUUAUGGAGGUAUGUUUUGCGUGCCCAUUCUUUCAAGGGUUGAUGGGGACUCCCUAAAAGCUAGCGAUCACGCGGAACUCUUGAAGGGAGAGGGACUGCACCCUGGUGGGGCUCGUGUGAAAGCUGAGAAUGUCCUAGAGGGUGAAUUAUUUUCUAAAGUUUUUAUAACAUGGAAAACUUUAAGUUAAUAGGGAAGCCAAGGUUAGGGUAAUAACAAAAACCUAGUAACCCCUUUAAUUUGGUUAUCAGUACUAUAAAUUUGUAAGCUUAAGAGAGUCUAAUUUAGAUCUUUUACCUUAUACCCAUCCUAUUCCUACCAACGCUAACAAGGGUGUAGAAAAGGAUAGCAAAUUUGGUCUGUUUAUAGUCCUUAUGCAUUGAACUUGAUGGUCUUAGAAAAGCAUCUAGCUUUGUCGAUUCUUUGGAUCCAAGAAGGUUUUACAAGAAAGAAACUUAUAAGUUUCUCUAAGAAAGAAACUCUAAAAAAAGGCUAGAAUCUUCUAGGUAACUUAUAAAACUUCCCUGAAAGUGACUGGUGUCCGAAAAGUGUGACAAGAUAGGCAAACUACGGAAUAAAAGAUUCUCAUGAGAUUGAUGCGAUUGAUAUCGAGUCAAAUAUUGCCAAGUGGACCUCUCUCCUCAUGAAGAAAGACACUUAAAUGGUGUUCAUCAUCAAUUCAAUUGCUCUACAAAUGCUGGACUGUUCUUUUUCUUUCUUGCUCUAAAUAGUAGAUGACUGCUUGCUAUUAAGGUGUCACUUGCUAGUUACCCAUACCAUUUUGAUUAACUUCUCCUCGGUAUGUAGAAUAUAUGCUAAAUUGACUUCAUACGUUAGGAUGUGCAUAGCCUACACAACUAGGAACAACAUAAUACACGGUCAGCCUAAGCUUAACCCUAGCUUCCAUGCAAUCAGACAUUUUUAUACCUAUUAGACAGGAAGAAGAGAGAAAACUUGACCCAUUUCUAAAAUUCAGAAAAAUUAAAAAAAUUGUAAAAAAAUUGAUUGUUAAUUAUUUUUGGAAUCAUGUUAAAAAAAUGCACAUAUUUUUUUCCACUAGAAAAAAUUCCACACACAAAAGAAAAUUUGUUCGUAAUAUUUUGUACACAUGCAAAAAAAAAAUGUUCGUAAUAUUUCCUCCACGAACAAUUAAAUUAAUUCCACGCAUAAAAAAGAAAAUUUGUUCGUAACAUUCUCUCCACGAGCAGAUAAAUUAGAUUUUUAGUGAUUUGCUCCAAAAAAAAUUCAUGCACAAAAAAUCAAUUGUAAUAUUUGCUAAAUUAGAUUUUUAGUUGGACUCUUCGAAAAAGAAUAAAUUAGAUUUUUAGUGGGAAUCUACAUAAAAAAAUAAAAUUUUGUAUAAAAAGAAAAAUUCUGCUCCUUAUUUCUUAUUCUCCACGAGUAAAUUCUAUUUUUAGUGGGACUCUUUAAAAAGAAAAAAAAUGUUAAUGUCAAAAUUUAUUCAAAAAGAAAUGUUUGCACAAAAAAAGAUUCCACACACACACACACACACCCCGAAUAAAAAGGGAAAUGUACGCACAAAAUAAUCAUUUGUAAUAUUUUCUAAAUUCGAUUUUUAGUAGGACUCUUUGAAAAGAAAAAAAAUCAUUCCAAAAGGAACAAUCAAAUUCACUCAAAAAAGAAAAUUCUGAUUCUUAGUUCUUACUCUCUACAACUAAAUUAGAUUUUUUUAAUGUCAAAAAUCUGUUCAAAAAGAAAUGUGUGAACAAAAAAAAUCCUAUGCACACAAAAGACAAAAAUGGAAAUGUACGCACAACAAAAAAUUGUUGGUAACAUUUUCUAAAUUUGAUUUUUAGUAGGACUCUUCGAAAAGAAAAAUAAAUAUUCAAAAAGAAAAUUUCAAAUUUCCCUCAUGAAGAAAAAAUUCCCUUCUUAUUUUUAUUUAUUUUA